rnacentral:rRNA from 1 species
AGCAGCCGCGGUAAUUCCAGCUCCAAUAGCGUAUAUUAAAGUUGUUGCAGUUAAAAAGCUCGUAGUUGAACUUCGGGAUUCACCCAUUGGUCAGGCUUAAUUGUCUGUACUGGUGAGAUGAGUCUCUACCUUCUGAGGAACUUUCAUGCCAUUUGUUUGGUGUGAUUGGAAAUCAGGACUGUUACUUUGAAAAAAUUAGAGUGUUUAAAGCAGGCUAACGUCUGAAUACAUUAGCAUGGAAUAAUGAAAUAGGACGGAUUGAUUCUAUUUCGUUGGUUUCUAGGGUCACCGUAAUGAUUAAUAGGGAUAGUUGGGGGCAUUAGUAUUCAAUUGUCAGAGGUGAAAUUCUUGGAUUUAUUGAAGACUAACUACUGCGAAAGCAUUUGCCAAGGAUGUUUUCAUUAAUCAAGAACGAAAGUUAGGGGAUCGAAGACGAUCAGAUACCGUCGUAGUCUUAACCAUAAGCUAUGCCGACUAGGGAUCGGACGCAGUUAAUUUUAUAAUGACGU